rnacentral:rRNA from 1 species
GAUCCUGGUUCAGAACGAACGCUGGCGGCAGGCUUAACACAUGCAAGUUGAACGGGAUUUGUGUGGUGCUUGCACCAUAUAAUGAGAGUAGCGCACUGGUGAGUAACACGUGGGAACGUACCUUUUGGUGGGGGACAACAUCUGGAAACGGAUGCUAAUACCGCAUAAGACCUGAGGGUGAAAGAUUUAUCGCCGAAAGAACGGCCCGCGGAAGAUUAGGCAGUUGGUGGGGUAAAGGCCUACCAAACCUACGAU